rnacentral:tRNA from 1 species
GGGCGCGUAGCUCAGUUGGUUAGAGCGCCUGCUUCACACGCGGGAGGUCACAGGUUCGAGCCCUGUCGCGCCCACCA